UACGUAGGCAGCGAGCGUUGUUCGGAAUUACUGGGCGUAAAGAGUGUGUAGGCGGUGCUCCCAGUCUGUUGUGAAAUCUCCCGGCUUAACUGGGAGGGUGCAGCGGAAACUAGAGUGCUAGAGGGUGGGAGAGGUAAGCGGAACUCCUGGUGUAAGCGGUGGAAUGCGCAGAUAUCAGGAGGAACACCGGUGGCGAAGGCGGGUCUCUGGGCAGUAACUGACGCUGAGGAGCGAAAGCGUGGGGGAGCGAACAGG
rnacentral:rRNA from 1 species